UACGUAGGGGGCAAGCGUUGUCCGGAAUCAUUGGGCGUAAAGCGCGUGUAGGCGGCCAGAAAAGUCCGCUGUGAAAACUGGAGGCUUAACCUCCAGACGUCGACGGAAACCGUAUGGCUAGAGUCCGGAAGAGGAGAGUGGAAUUCCUGGUGUAGCGGUGAAAUGCGCAGAUAUCAGGAAGAACACCCGUGGCUAAGGCGGCUCUCUAGUACGGUACUGACGCUGAGACGCGAAAGCGUGGGGAGCGAACAGG
rnacentral:rRNA from 1 species